AAAAGGACCAGCUCCAUGCUGUUUCACGUUCCAGAAGAGAAAGGUGCCUGAACAGCUUAUUACUAAGUAUAAAGAAACUCACCGUGACUGUCCAAACCCUGGAAUCGUUUUUAUCAUGAAGAGCGGUCGUCGUGUGUGUGCAGACCCCGGAGAUCAAUGGGUGAAGGAUCACAUGGAUAAGAUUGACCUGCGCCUUUAUGGAGGCACAAACCAAACUCAAGCGAAUAGUUAAAUAAAUCCUCCAUAAAUGCAUAAUUACUACAAACUGCACUUUCUAUAUAUCGAGAAUGGUUCUCUUGAAAGCGCUUUCUGCAAGCUUGACCAAGUGUUUAAAUCCUCCCUCUAUCAAUAGAUAAUUACUACAAAAUGCACUUGGUUUAUGAAUUGCAUGCUGGUUUCAGGAGGAUUAUAGCUUUUUGCAUGAAACAUUUAAUCAGGUACACUUGCUCGAAACAUUAUAGCAUUAUUUUGCUCAAUUAACUUAUGGCCCGUGGGGAGGAAGUCAUUUUAUUUCAAAUAUUUUAAAGGACAUUAUUCACACAUUAUGGCUUCAAGGCCACAUUUUUAACAUUUCAAAAAGAAACCAAUUUUUGAAAUAUAUUGAAAUAUCAUCAUGUCUUUUAUAUCAACAAUUUUAAUGGUUGUCUUAAUAAAUGCAUAAAUAAAAA